CAGCAGUCGGAGUGAGUUUGAUCACUGGUAAUGCAAGAAGAAAAGCAGAGAAAUGGCAGCAAACCAUGGCAAAUCUUCGAUGAGGAAAAAUCAAAGAAGUUGAGGCCUUUAAAUAGAGUUUUAGGACUCAUUAUCGGAGAAGAACUCCUUCAAGAGUUCUCUCCUAGAAUUCCUGGGUUCCCACGGUAAUUCUAGCUUUUUUUUUCUAGCACAUGUAAAGCAUGUGUUGGCCUUUUGGAUUCUC
rnacentral:lncRNA from 1 species